CCUACGGGGCGCAGCAGUGGGGAAUAUUGCACAAUGGGGGAAACCCUGAUGCAGCGACGCCGCGUGAGUGAAGAAGUAUUUCGGUAUGUAAAGCUCUGUCAGCAGGGAAGAAAAUGACGGUACCUGACCAAGAAGCCCCGGCUAACUACGUGCCAGCAGCCGCGGUAAUACGUAGGGGGCAAGCGUUAUCCGGAUUUACUGGGUGUAAAGGGAGCGUAGACGGCAGGGCAAGUCUGGAGUGAAAGGCGGGGGCUCAACCCCCGGACUGCUCUGGAAACUGCCAGGCUGGAGUGCAGGAGAGGUAA
rnacentral:rRNA from 1 species